rnacentral:tRNA from 1 species
GCAGGAGUAGCCAAGUGGCCAAAGGCGGUAGGCUCAAGACCUACUCCCUUAGUGGGUUCGCAGGUUCGAAUCCUGCCUCCUGCA